rnacentral:lncRNA from 1 species
AAAAGUAUUUAAUUUUGAGUUAGUGACGAUUUGUUUACCCAUCUUGAGCUUCGCAAUUGAGUUAUGAGGAAUACAAAAAGACUCGGGUAAAAGCCUCUAUAUAUACAAAAGGAAAAUGAUUCUUGACUUUAAUUUUAAAUUUAUCGGGAGUAAAUCAGUGUGCCUAAAAACUCAAUACCAAACCUGUGCCACUUACCAAAUUCUGACAUCUGUCUUUAACUU